CAGCUUUCAAAGCAGCAGAAGAACAUCCAAUAUAUACCAUAGUUUCCCCCUUAUCUGUGGUUUCACUUUCUGUGGUUUGAGUUACCCACAAGUCAACCACAGUCUGGAAGCAGAUGGUCCAUGGGCUGACACAUCAUUGGAAGAUCAAAAGCAGCCAAACGCUACGAUCCCUGUAUCACAGUGCCUAAGUCAUUCACCUCCUUUCAUCUCAUCAUGUAGGCAUUUUAUCAUCUAACACCAUCACGAAAGGGAAAAGGGCAAGUAUUUGUAUUCUUUCAAGAUAAGUACGUGAAGGGAUUUGAAAGGACAGAAAAGAAAAACAUCGCAAAAUCUUAUUGCAAAAUCAAUGAGUGAUCAAAAAUUGCCAAAGAUUACUCGGGUCUGCCUUGUUAAGAAGAGAUGUCAGUGCCUAUAUUUUGUUUCAUAUGGACGGUGCCUCACCAAGUGCCACCACACUGGCCUCCCUAGGUUUCUAAAAUUCCCAUCAUCAAAGCCAACCACGUUGAAAGUAUUAUCUCUAGAAAGCCACCGUUCAAAAGCCAUAUCCACUUUUGAAAUGAGAAGAAAGGAAGAGCCUUCUCUCCAUGUAAGGAAUCUUCAAAUCACUCCUAAC